UUGAGAGGUCAGCUGACCUCCGACCUUUUUAAGAAAAACGUGUUCAAUUUGUAGCAUUUUAUGUAUUGCUCCCUGAUAUCUACACAACCUGGCCCGACAUGGUUUUUCCGAUGGCUUUGGUUGUCAGAACCGCGAUACAAGUCUUAGAAUCGUCCGACUUUAGGACCCCACCUUUAGAAAGCGAUCCAAAAUAUGAUGAGAGUCGUUUUUGUUAGAAUCGUGUUAGGGUCACGCUACAGAUCGUAGGAUCGGAUGAAAACGCAAGGUGAGUCGGUAACAUGAACGACUUGGCCGGGCUCUGUUGGUGGCCUUGUACUUUUUUUUGGAGAAAAACAGAACAAACGCAUGUACUCACAUACACAUGCAUACACUCACCUCCAUGAACGCACACACACGCACACCUACCCAUAUGAGCACCUCCGGAAGACCAAGUUGGCGGAUUGAAUCUUGAAAUUGACGAAGUUACCACAGACACCUCGCUAUCGACGGGAACAUCGCCUCCCGCUGAAUGAAUAUGGCCUUGUACAAGAUGGACGGCGAGGGAUAUCCCUUCUGGUAACCCCCAGUCUUUGCCUGUUUACGUUCCUUUCUCUUUCUUCCUGUUUGGGGCGGCCGUGCCAAUCUCUUUCUCAUCCAAAUCUGACCUAGAAAUUACUCAGAUCCAUGUGAAGUUAGUAAGCAAAUGGAGGAGGAAAGGGAUUGAUGAGAAGAUCACAAGGGUGCUCCAGUCCGCAGGACUUUUUUGCGGGUGCUGGAGAGGAAAUUUAUCCUACAUGAUGGAGAUCAUUUGGCUAGCAAGCGUAAAGCCCUGACAACUUUGAAUCAUUAUACUACAAAAACAAGAGAGAGGAAAGGAUAUAACGGCCCUAAAGUUAUUUACUUACUCACGACCCAUGUCCAUGUCACUCAGCCUACAAAUGGUCCAGAAGACCAAUAAAGCAGAAUCAAAGAAAUAAGUUAGGGUGGCCGAUCCACCUCUCAGUACCAUGUCUUUUGCCUCUGAUCGUGGCGAAUCAACGUGUUUGGGUAAACUUUCCGUCGCACUGCUCGCACAGGCCUAUCGACGGCCCUGUGUUAGAUAGCUGGACCGGUAGAAACAGAAGAUCUAUAUGCAACUUGUAUUUUCGGCUUUCCUUAUACUUCUGAUAUUUACAAAACAGCUCAGACAACAUUUGUGCAAUGCUAGAUCAUAUUGUUGAGAUAGUGGGAGAGGAUAUUGUUCUGCAAGUUGUGACAGACAGUGAACUUUUGCUACAUAAGUCAUUUUUUUGUUCA